rnacentral:rRNA from 1 species
CGGUAACAUUUCUAGCUUGCUAGAAGAUGACGAGUGGCGGACGGGUGAGUAAUGCUUGGGAACUUGCCUUUGCGAGGGGGAUAACAGUUGGAAACGACUGCUAAUACCGCAUAAUGUCUUCGGACCAAACGGGGCUUCGGCUCCGGCGCAAAGAGAGGCCCAAGUGAGAUUAGCUAGUUGGUAAGGUAACGGCUUACCAAGGCGACGAUCUCUAGCUGUUCUGAGAGGAAGAUCAGCCACACUGGGACUGAGACACGGCCCAGACUCCUACGGGAGGCAGCAGUGGGGAAUACUGCACAAUGGGGGAAACCCUGAUGCAGCCAUGCCGCGUGUGUGAAGAAGGCCUUCGGGUUGUAAAGCACUUUCAGUUGUGAGGAAAAGUUAGUAGUUAAUACCUGCUAGCCGUGACGUUAACAACAGAAGAAGCACCGGCUAACUCCGUGCCAGCAGCCGCGGUAAUACGGAGGGUGCGAGCGUUAAUCGGAAUUACUGGGCGUAAAGCGCACGCAGGCGGUUUGUUAAGCUAGAUGUGAAAGCCCCGGGCUCAACCUGGGAUGGUCAUUUAGAACUGGCAGACUAGAGUCUUGGAGAGGGGAGUGGAAUUCCAGGUGUAGCGGUGAAAUGCGUAGAUAUCUGGAGGAACAUCAGUGGCGAAGGCGACUCCCUGGCCAAAGACUGACGCUCAUGUGCGAAAGUGUGGGUAGCGAACAGGAUUAGAUACCCUGGUAGUCCACACCGUAAACGCUGUCUACUAGCUGUGUGUGCCUUUAAGGCGUGCGUAGCGAAGCUAACGCGCUAAGUAGACCGCCUGGGGAGUACGGCCGCAAGGUUAAAACUCAAAUGAAUUGACGGGGGCCCGCACAAGCGGUGGAGCAUGUGGUUUAAUUCGAUGCAACGCGAAGAACCUUACCUACACUUGACAUGCUGAGAAGUUACUAGAGAUAGUUUCGUGCCUUCGGGAACUCAGACACAGGUGCUGCAUGG